CCUACGGGUGGCAGCAGUGAGGAAUAUUGGUCAAUGGGCUUACGCCUGAACCAGCCAAGUCGCGUGAGGGAAGACUGCCCUAUGGGUUGUAAACCUCUUUUGUCAGGGAGCAACGCCGGCUACGUGUAGCCGGACUGAGAGUACCUGAAGAAAAAGCAUCGGCUAACUCCGUGCCAGCAGCAGCGGUAAUACGGGGGAUGCGAGCGUUAUCCGGAUUUAUUGGGUUUAAAGGGUGCGUAGGCGGAAUGCAAAUUCAGCGGGAAAACCGCGGGGCUAACCCUCGCUCCGCAGUUGAACCUGGCGGUCGUGAGUGGGCGAGAGGUAUGCGGAAUGCGUGGUGUAGCGGUGAAAUGCAUAGAUAUCACGCAGAACUCCGAUUGCGAAGGCAGCAUACCGGCGCCCAACUGACGCUGAAGCACGAAAGCGUGGGGAUCGAACAGGAUUAGAUACCCCGGUAGUC
rnacentral:rRNA from 1 species